UAGGGAAUCUUCCACAAUGGACGAAAGUCUGAUGGAGCAACGCCGCGUGAGUGAUGAAGGUUUUCGGAUCGUAAAACUCUGUUGUAAGGGAAGAACAGGUAUGAGAGGUAAUGCUCAUGCUAUGACGGUACCUUGCGAGAAAGCCACGGCUAACUACGUGCCAGCAGCCGCGGUAAUCCGUAGGUGGCAAGCGUUGUCCGGAAUUAUUGGGCGUAAAGCGCGCGCAGGCGGCCUUUUAAGUCUGAUGUG
rnacentral:rRNA from 1 species